UUCGACCAAAAGAGCCAAGAUUGCUUGCAAU
rnacentral:piRNA from 1 species